UUCAGCCAAGAACGUCCACCCCUCUCUUCCAUUGAAGACAAGAGCUCAACUUUUUCAUUUCCAAAUCUUUUGUCAUUUUAAUCGGUAAAUCGAUCGGGAAAUCGGAUAUCCGCCAGAAAAUCAAGUAUAAGGCAUAGAAGCUUGUAACACGAGUCGUGCAAAAAUGAAUGGACCUAGAAGAUAGCAAAGGGUCGGAAGGUGAAAUAGGCUUAUGUUCAUAAGCCUGCGAGGUUAGAGUCGACAUUAUGUCAGUGGUGUCGCACAGCUUUGCAUCUUUGGAUGGUUUAUAUUGGAUUUUUGGAAAGAUUGUAUCUGUGAAAUCACAUUAUGAUACAUGGUAUUACAUGUCAUGUCAGACCUGUUUUAAGAAGGUUGAAGCAGAGGAUAAUAAGUUAAUCUGUUCACUAUGUUUUGCCAAUGAAUGACAUUGCUAAAGAAAUUGGAAAGAAUCUGGUGGGGCAGAGUGUGUUGUUCAAGCUCCAAUUCAGAAAUCAGUUGGAGUAUUACAAAUCUUAUCCACAUACUGUGAAUAAAGUGUGCAAUAUACCCCAUGUUGUUGAGAAGUAUACCCCCAAAAAUCUUGGUUCACAAGAAGUUAGGAAAGAAUUAAAGUUAUCUGAUCUCAUUUUUGGUUCUGAUCUUCCAAAUGUAAUCAUAUUUUG